rnacentral:rRNA from 1 species
UACGGAAGGCAGCAGUGGGGAAUAUUGCACAAUGGGCGAAAGCCUGAUGCAGCUAUGCCGCGUGUAUGAAGAAGGCCUUAGGGUUGUAAAGUACUUUCAUCGGGGAGGAAAAAACAAAACUAAUAAUUUUAUUUCUUGACGUUACCCGAAAAAGAAGCACCGGCUAACUCCGUGCCAGCAGCCGCGGUAAUACGGAGGGUGCUAGCGUUAAUCAGAAUUACUGGGCGUAAAGAGCACGUAGGUGGUUUUUUUAAGUCAGAUGUGAAAUCCCUGGGCUUAACCUGGAACUGCAUUUUGAAACUGAAAUACUAGAGUAUCGUAGAGGGAGGUAGAAUUCUAGGUGUAGCGGUGAAAUGCGUAGAUAUCUGGAGGAAUACCUGUGGCGAAAGCGGCCUCCUAAACGAAUACUGACACUGAGGUGCGAAAGCGUAGGGAGCAAACAGGGAUUAGAUACC